rnacentral:lncRNA from 1 species
AUAAGGCAAGCAUCUCUGCUAAUUCAUACUGGAAUAAUCUUAAUUACUUAAAGGAAAACCCUUAUACGAUUGGCAGCAAAGAGGAUCAACGGACAGAAACUGUAAGAUAAACCUAAAAGAGAUGUGUGCAGAUCUUUAAAACAAAAGAUACAUCCCUUGGAUUUUGUUAGCUCCCUGAACUUACCAUAGGAAUCUCUUAUGUAAUGGAGCUAGCAUU